rnacentral:rRNA from 1 species
AGAGUUUGAUCAUGGCUCAGAUUGAACGCUGGCGGCAGGCCUAACACAUGCAAGUCGAACGGUAACAGGAAGCAGCUUGCUGCUUUGCUGACGAGUGGCGGACGGGUGAGUAAUGUCUGGGAAACUGCCUGAUGGAGGGGGAUAACUACUGGAAACGGUAGCUAAUACCGCAUAACGUCGCAAGACCAAAGAGGGGGACCUUAGGGCCUCUUGCCAUCGGAUGUGCCCAGAUGGGAUUAGCUAGUAGGUGGGGUAACGGCUCACCUAGGCGACGAUCCCUAGCUGGUCUGAGAGGAUGACCAGCCACACUGGAACUGAGACACGGUCCAGACUCCUACGGGAGGCAGCAGUGGGGAAUAUUGCACAAUGGGCGCAAGCCUGAUGCAGCCAUGCCGCGCGUAUGAAGAAGGCCUUCGGGUUGUAAAGUACUUUCAGCGGGGAGGAAGGGAGUAAAGUUAAUACCUUUGCUCAUUGACGUUACCCGCAGAAGAAGCACCGGCUAACUCCGUGCCAGCAGCCGCGGUAAUACGGAGGGUGCAAGCGUUAAUCGGAAUUACUGAGCGUCAAGCGCACGCACGCGGUUUGUUAAUUCAGAUGUGAAAUCCCCGGGCUCAACCCUGGGGAACUGCAUCUGAUACUGGCAAGCUUUGAGUCUCGUAGAGGGGGGGUAGAAUUCCGGGGUAGCGGUGAAAGGCGUUAAG